UACCAACUGGUGAAUGUCCUUGGCCUGUAGUGCAAGGAUGAAUAUUUGAUCCCAGAUAUAUAUUGAUUGAUGUUACAGGGAUAAAAAAAAUAGACGAUGAACUUUAAAAUUCAUACAUAGAAGAUAGUAGUUUGCAUUCUCUACUUAACUCUUCUAAUGAAUUAUUAUUUCCGCUGCGAAUAUUGAUUUAAAACUUGUUGU
rnacentral:lncRNA from 1 species